UGCGAAUGCUGACAUAAGUAACGAUAAAGCGGGUGAAAAGCCCGCUCGCCGGAAGACCAAGGGUUCCUGUCCAACGUUAAUCGGGGCAGGGUGAGUCGACCCCUAAGGCGAGGCCGAAAGGCGUAGUCGAUGGGAAACGGGUUAAUAUUCCCGUACUUGGUGUUACUGCGAAGGGGGGACGGAGAAGGCUAUGUUGGCCGGGCGACGGUUGUCCCGGUUUAAGCGUGUAGGUAUGUGUUCCAGGUAAAUCCGGUUCACUUUAACACUGAGGCGUGACGACGAGGCACUACGGUGCUGAAGCAACAAAUGCCCUGCUUCCAGGAAAAGCCUCUAAGCAUCAGGUAACAUCAAAUCGUACCCCAAACCGACACAGGUGGUCAGGUAGAGAAUACCAAGGCGCUUGAGAGAACUCGGGUGAAGGAACUAGGCAAAAUGGUGCCGUAACUUCGGGAGAAGGCACGCUGACACGUAGGUGAAGUGAUUUACUCACGGAGCUGAAGUCAGCCGAAGAUACCAGCUGGCUGCAACUGUUUAUUAAAAACACAGCACUGUGCAAACACGAAAGUGGACGUAUACGGUGUGACGCCUGCCCGGUGCCGGAAGGUUAAUUGAUGGGGUCAGCGCAAGCGAAGCUCCUGAUCGAAGCCCCGGUAAACGGCGGCCGUAACUAUAACGGUCCUAAGGUAGCGAAAUUCCUUGUCGGGUAAGUUCCGACCUGCACGAAUGGCGUAAUGAUGGCCAGGCUGUCUCCACCCGAGACUCAGUGAAAUUGAACUCGCUGUGAAGAUGCAGUGUACCCGCGGCAAGACGGAAAGACCCCGUGAACCUUUACUAUAGCUUGACACUGAACAUUGAGCCUUGAUGUGUAGGAUAGGUGGGAGGCUUUGAAGUGUGGACGCCAGUCUGCAUGGAGCCGACCUUGAAAUACCACCCUUUAAUGUUUGAUGUUCUAACGUGGACCCGUGAUCCGGGUUGCGGACAGUGUCUGGUGGGUAGUUUGACUGGGGCGGUCUCCUCCUAAAGAGUAACGGAGGAGCACGAAGGUUGGCUAAUCCUGGUCGGACAUCAGGAGGUUAGUGCAAUGGCAUAAGCCAGCUUGACUGCGAGCGUGACGGCGCGAGCAGGUGCGAAAGCAGGUCAUAGUGAUCCGGUGGUUCUGAAUGGAAGGGCCAUCGCUCAACGGAUAAAAGGUACUCCGGGGAUAACAGGCUGAUACCGCCCAAGAGUUCAUAUCGACGGCGGUGUUUGGCACCUCGAUGUCGGCUCAUCACAUCCUGGGGCUGAAGUAGGUCCCAAGGGUAUGGCUGUUCGCCAUUUAAAGUGGUACGCGAGCUGGGUUUAGAACGUCGUGAGACAGUUCGGUCCCUAUCUGCCGUGGGCGCUGGAGAACUGAGGGGGGCUGCUCCUAGUACGAGAGGACCGGAGUGGACGCAUCACUGGUGUUCGGGUUGUCAUGCCAAUGGCACUGCCCGGUAGCUAAAUGCGGAAGAGAUAAGUGCUGAAAGCAUCUAAGCACGAAACUUGCCCCGAGAUGAGUUCUCCCUGAGACUUUAGGUCUCCUGAAGGAACGUUGAAGACGACGACGUUGAUAGGCCGGGUGUGUAAGCGCAGCGAUGCGUUGAGCUAACCGGUACUAAUGAACCGUGAGGCUUAACCUUACAACGCCGAAG
rnacentral:rRNA from 2 species